AUAUCAAUAAGCGGAGGAAAAGAAAAUAACAAUGAUUCCCCUAGUAACGGCGAGUGAAGAGGGAAGUAGCCCAAGCUGAAAAGCUGGUGGAUUAACAGUCUACCCGCAUUGUAGCCUAAGGAUAGGAUCGUUCUAUCUUGGUGGCCCAGGUACAAAUCCUUUGGAACAAGGUAUCAUAGAGGGUGAGAAUCCCGUCCUUGACCUGGUUGCUGCUUUGGUAGUGGUCUUCAUCCGCGAGUCGGGUUGUUUGGGAAUGCAGCCCUAAUGGGAGGUAAAUUCCUCCUAAGGCUAAAUAUUGGGGAGAAAUCGAUAGCAAACAAGUACCGUGAGGGAAAGGUGAAAAGAACUUUGAAAAGAGAGUUAAAUAGUAC
rnacentral:rRNA from 1 species